rnacentral:rRNA from 1 species
CCUACGGGUGGCUGCAGUGAGGAAUAUUGGUCAAUGGACGCAAGUCUGAACCAGCCAUGCCGCGUGCAGGAGGACGGCUCUAUGAGUUGUAGACUGCUUUUGUACGAGGGUAAACGCAGAUACGCGUAUCUGUAUGAAAGUAUAGUACGAAUAAGGAUCGGCUAACUCCGUGCCAGCAGCCGCGGUAAUACGGAGGAUUCAAGCGUUAUCCGGUUUUAGUGGGUUUAAAGGGUGCGUAGGCGGUCGGAUAAGUUAGAGGUGAAAUCCCGAGGCUCAACUUCGGAAUUGCAUUUGAUACUGUUCGGCUAGAGUGUAGUUGCGGUAGGCGGAAUGUAUGGUGUAGCGGUGAAAUGCUUAGAGAUCAUACAGAACACCGAUUGCGAAGGCAGCUUACCAAGCUAUUUCUGACGUUGAGGCACGAAAGCGUGGGUAGCAAACAGGAUUAGAUACCCGAGUAGUC